rnacentral:sRNA from 1 species
GUCGGGCAUGGUGGCGCACACCUGUAAUCCCAGCUACUCAGGAGGCUGAGGCAGGAGGAUGACAAGUUUGAAGCCAGACCCAGCCACUU